UACGUAGGGCGCAAGCGUUGUCCGGAAUUAUUGGGCGUAAAGAGCUCGUAGGCGGCUUGUCGCGUCGUCCGUGAAAACCCACAGCUCAACUGUGGGCUUGCGGUCGAUACGGGCAGGCUAGAGUUCGGUAGGGGAGAUCGGAAUUCCUGGUGUAGCGGUGAAAUGACGCAGAUAUCAGGAGGAACACCGGUGGCGAAGGCGGAUCUCUGGGCCGAUACUGACGCUGAGGAGCGAAAGCGUGGGGAGCGAACAGG
rnacentral:rRNA from 1 species